rnacentral:antisense_RNA from 1 species
UGACAACGGGUUUUACUUAAUGUUAAGCAAAUUAAGCCGCGGCCAUUUGUCGCCAUAAAGUUAAUCGCUUCAGGGGUGAUAUGCUGUGAUGCAAUAAU